CUUCUGUCACCUGUUAAAAUAAAUAUUUAAAUCAUAAACGUUUCUAGAUUUAACAAAUCAAUUACGCAGCGAAGGCGAACAUGUUCUUUUUAUUUUGGGAAAUAAAUUACGUUCGCUGCCAUUAAUUACGGAAGGGGUGGAGUCUGGUUUUUUUAUUUGCUGUAAAUAGGCUAGUGUAUAACAGUGUGACAGUAAUGUGGUUCGUGAAAACAAACAUACGUCAAAAUCACUCGCGAUCCAAGGUGCGACUGAUCAUAAAUAAUACACUUAUAAUUCCACCAAGAACCGUGAGCGAUAUGAAGUUGAUAAAUAAAUAAAAUUAUACAGAACAAUAACAGAAAAAACCUUAUUUAUUUAUGCCUCUUUGUUUAGUCCAUCGUGUUGCGGCCAAGGCGGCCAAACCACUUUCGUGUCCCUCAAAGACUCAAAGCAAACUUGUCCGGUAAUGUUCUGAACCAGAUGGUGACAUCAUCAACGUAAUUGUCUUUUUCAAUCAACUUCACCUUUAAUUUAUACACUUGCUUUAGUCAGCUUUGUUCUAUUAUUAAGUACCUACUUUCGAAACGGUUAAAAAGAUUCUUUAUUUAGAUCAUAUAAGUAAUUAGUAGCAGCAUAGGAGUAAGUAGUAUGCAGUAAGCGCUUCUGCAAAACUUGGGGCUUUUUACCUACGCCUGUAGACAAACAAAUGCACGUUUAUCGUAUUGUGUGCUUAAUGCGAGUUUUUUAACGUUCUCGAUAACGUAAAAGUUAACUCAACAUUUUAUGGAGUCAGAACGUUUGCCUACGUUUGCCGAUAGGGGCUGCAUAUAAAUUUGAGUUAACUUUUACGCUAUCGAGAACGUUAAAAAACUCGCACUAAGCACUAAGCAAUCAACGACAUUACUCUUGUUCAUUUACAUAAGUAUUAUUGUAGUCACUACGGCUCACUCCAGAAUAUAUUAUUUAACUAGUCUUUUUUUGCUACCUAUCCUAGUAACCUCGAGAGGUUAUUCUAGUUUUACCGAGCGUGUCUAGUCUCUAGUCUUCUAGCUUAAAAUAUCUCGUCGCUAUCCUCAAGCUUCGGAUAGCUACUACAAAAUCGUAUAAAUAAUUAAAUAUAUACGACUCUAAUGUUUUAUGUAGGUUCGAGCAAUAAGACAAUUCAAUGUGUCCUUCAUAAUUAGUCAAGUGAGUGUUGUUUGUUGGGAAUGACGUGAUCGACGAUGCGGGGGCGAAAUGAAAUUGCUGUGUGCCGUGAUUGCGAUCUUUUCAAUGAACUACUCGGUUUUGUGACUGCGAGUGGGAGUCGAACAUCAAUGUAUUUACAUAGCACCAACGUUCUACACGUAAACCGAUUUCGUUUGUCUAAACGAUUUGUUUUGACCUGUAUCUAAACUUUUUUAUUCAUUUCUCAUGAUUGUUUUAAUAAUAAACAACACAAAAUAGGUAGUAAACUGAAGAGUACUAACAGAGCACGCCGUGAGACUUAAAUGUCAUUAAUGUUAUAAUUAUAACAGAAAUUUGAGAAUUGUAGUUUUGUUGUUUCUGUUCGUUCUGUAUUUGAAGUAUGUAUCCCAAAGAUCCCCACACUAACGAGAAAAGCUACAGAGAAUAAGGUUGAGGUAACAGUAAAAUAAUGUCCAUGUACUGAUUAGAAAUUACUGUAUGCGUGUUGUUCUGUGGUAUUUUUUGUAUGACUACUGUAAUGUCUUAAUGAUUAUUGAAAUACAUAUAAAUUUAAUACUGUAUUCAAAACAUAUCUAAUGUUUAUUUUGUUAGAAAGGUAAAAACUGUUUAGCAUUGUGGAGAACAUUUACUUUAUGGUUCAAGGUUAAUUAAUUAGACUAAGACACUGCAAGUGUGCUUGCUUAAAUUGAUGUAAAACUGUUUUUUUUUUUUCAUAAUGAAGGUAUUUUAUUUUUUAAUUUCAUUAAUAUUUUAUACACGCGAUUAAACCGUAAAAGUAGAUACGACAUAGUAAUAUUAUUUUAUUUUACUAAAUUAAUUGUGUUAGAUAAAUAAAAUAUGAGUAAAGACGUGAGAUUGUAUUUUUUUUUACUGCUUUAUAUAAUUUUCAUGACGUCUACGAAUCGCGAAAAUCGAAGAAAAUAUUAGACUCUAUUUUACGUGUCUACCAGAAAAAUCUUUGAAAUUUUAUUACAAACAGAUUAUAACGAUAUCUUAACAUUCAGGACAUUCCACACAGAUCUAAUAUAAUCGGUAUUAUCGAUAUUAAGGUCAAGGUAUUUAUUAUUUUAAAUAGUUUCAGCUUGUAUAAAUUUUGGUAAAAUGUAGAAAGUCCGAUAUAUACAAUAAAAUUUUUAAUAAUAGGGUAAGUCCGGGGUAGAUGGCCAUAUGGGAGAGACGGCCUAUCAAAAUAUUUCAAGGUAUCGUUCACUAAAUGUCACUGGUUAACGUUUAGUUUUCUGCGCGACAUGCGUGAGGGCAACGGUGCGACAAAAUAUUUGGCGAAAAAAGAAGAAAAAAGCCCUAUAAUCGUGUUCACAAAAUCAUGCAUUAAAAAUGCCACGAUGUCUAAUGUUUUACACCCGAGUGCUCCGAAAGAGGCUUCGUUCAGUAAGAAUCCAGAUUACACCCCAUCUCGAAUUCUACAGGAUAUAUCAACCAGUCCACAAAAACUGACUCAAGUGUGUAAAUGAGCAAAGCAAGUUGGAACACUUUUUAAUUCGAAAGAACACAUCUAGAACUAGAAAAACUGCUGCAGAAAAAAGUAUAAAAAAGAAAAAGUAAUAAAAUGUGUCAAAACAAAGAAGGAAAAAACAGACAAUAGAAGGACUGUUCAAUGUAUAAAAAAAAAGCUAUUCGAAAACUAUCUGAGAAUAGUGAUAUGAUAAUCCAUUAAAAAUAUUGUCAGAUAAAAAUGAGAAAAGAAAGUGACACGAAAAGGACAACUGUCGUGGGUGUGGUAAAAAUUACUAGGGAACACUUCUCAUCGAAGAGUGGCUUCAAUAUACAGUGUCAGUAUUGAGUUCACGAACACUAUACUGAAUUUGAAACGACGUGCUCCAGAUGUGACGAAGAGGGGAAAACAAUACUUAAAAGUAGAAAAUGAGAACAAAAGGCAAUUAUAAGUCUAGAAUUAAGCUAUGGUCA